UGGAUGGACGGGAGAAAAAUGUGACAUUGAUAAAGACGAGUGCUCGUCUGGAAGUCCUUGCACUAAAGCAAAUCAGGAAUGCAAGAACUCACCAGGAUCGUAUAAGUGUGUUUGUGCUCCUGGAUAUGUGAAGAAUACAACGUUAAAUGAAUGCACAGAUAUCGAUGAAUGCAAAACUAAUCCAUGUAGUCAGCUCUGUACGAACACCAUAGGAAAUUACUCCUGUGGUUGUAAUGCUGGAUUUCGAUUGAUCGGUGGGUCACAGUGUGAGGAUAUUGACGAAUGCACUGCUCCUACAAGUCCCUGUGAUCAAAUAUGCACCAACACCCAGGGAAGCUUUAGGUGCUCUUGUAAUGCAGGGUUCUCACUGAAUACGACAACAAGGGUUACCUGUGAAACAAGGACACGGUGUGAGAACGUUACAUUUAACUGCACGCAGAAGUGUGGAGUUAAUUUAGAAUCGGAAUAUUGCUUCUGUAAUCCUGGAUUCAGCUUAG